rnacentral:rRNA from 1 species
CCUACGGGGGGCUGCAGUGGGGAAUAUUGGACAAUGGGCGCAAGCCUGAUCCAGCCAUACCGCGUGAGUGAAGAAGGCCCUCGGGUUGUAAAGCUCUUUUGUUGGGAAAGAAAUCCUGUUGGUUAAUACCUGGCAGGGAUGACGGUACCCAAAGAAUAAGCACCGGCUAACUUCGUGCCAGCAGCCGCGGUAAUACGAAGGGUGCAAGCGUUACUCGGAAUUACUGGGCGUAAAGCGUGCGUAGGUGGUUGUUUAAGUCUGUCGUGAAAGCCCUGGGCUCAACCUGGGAAUUGCGAUGGAUACUGGGCGACUAGAAUGUGGUAGAGGGUGGCGGAAUUCCCGGUGUAGCAGUGAAAUGCGUAGAGAUCGGGAGGAACAUCCGUGGCGAAGGCGGCCACCUGGACCAACAUUGACACUGAGGCACGAAAGCGUGGGGAGCAAACAGGAUUAGAUACCCCAGUAGUC